UGGGGAAUUUUGGACAAUGGGCGAAAGCCUGAUCCAGCAAUGCCGCGUGUGUGAAGAAGGCCUUCGGGUUGUAAAGCACUUUUGUCCGGAAAGAAAUCCUUGGCUCUAAUACAGUCGGGGGAUGACGGUACCGGAAGAAUAAGCACCGGCUAACUACGUGCCAGCAGCCGCGGUAAUACGUAGGGUGCAAGCGUUAAUCGGAAUUACUGGGCGUAAAGCGUGCGCAGGCGGUUUGCUAAGACCGAUGUGAAAUCCCCGGGCUCAACCUGGGAACUGCAUUGGUGACUGGCAGGCUAGAGUAUGGCAGAGGGGGGUAGAAUUCCACGUGUAGCAGUGAAAUGCGUAGAGAUGUGGAGAAUACCGAUGGCGAAGGCAGCCCCCUGGGCCAAUACUGACGCUCAUGCACGAAAGCGUGGGGAGCAAAACAGGAUUAGAUACCCUGGUAGUCCACGCCCUAAACGAUGUCAACUAGUUGUUGGGGAUUCAUUCCUUAGUAACGUAGCUAACGCGUGAAGUUGACCGCCUGGGGAGUACGGUCGCAAGAUUAAAACUCAAAUGAAUUGACGGGGUCAUAGCUG
rnacentral:rRNA from 1 species